GGCUGGCCCAGCCCCCAGCCAUCCAUUCUGAUUGGGGAGGGCUGGCUAACGUGUUGUAGCCACCACCUUGUCUGAAGGCAGUUGUCGGCGUCAGCACAGCACUCUGUCCCUGGGAGAGAACCACACACAGGUGUCCAGUGACCGCUUAAAAGGGAGGAGAAAGGGGGUCUCGGUCUCUUGGGUGGUGAAGAUGGCCUGAAGCAGCAUGCCAUGGUUCCUAGCUUUCCAAGGACUCUGCAACUGGAUUUACCUUAUCCUGUAUCAGGGCCCUCCCGGAAGGAUGCAUGCUGCUGACAGGCGUCAAGGACAGACCUUGCUGCACACACAGCACCUGUCUCUGAGUUAAGUCGCAAUGGAGAGCUCAGCUUCCCCUCACAUUGUGUGGGGUUUCAGGUGGACACGGAGCCUGGCCCUGUGCUGGGCACUGGGAGGCUUGGCAGCUGUGGGCAUCACAUCUGCUUUCCUCUCAAAGAGAGUCAGUCAGACAGACCUUUACUUUUUUUCCCCCUUCAUUUUAGUGAUCUUGGAAGGAAAUUCAAAUUAAAGAUGGCUGGCAUGA